UGGGGAAUAUUGCACAAUGGGCGCAAGCCUGAUGCAGCCAUGCCGCGUGUAUGAAGAAGGCCUUCGGGUUGUAAAGUACUUUCAGCAGUGAGGAAGGGGGUAUCGUUAAUAGCGGUAUUCUUUGACGUUAGCUGCAGAAGAAGCACCGGCUAACUCCGUGCCAGCAGCCGCGGUAAUACGGAGGGUGCGAGCGUUAAUCGGAAUUACUGGGCGUAAAGCGCAUGCAGGUGGUUUGUUAAGUCAGAUGUGAAAGCCCGGGGCUCAACCUCGGAAUUGCAUUUGAAACUGGCAGGCUAGAGUACUGUAGAGGGGGGUAGAAUUUCAGGUGUAGCGGUGAAAUGCGUAGAGAUCUGAAGGAAUACCGGUGGCGAAGGCGGCCCCCUGGACAGAUACUGACACU
rnacentral:rRNA from 1 species